rnacentral:lncRNA from 1 species
AAAUCUGAAAAAAAAAAUGGAGCAACUUGAGUCCUAGAAGAGAAAAUGAAGAGAGCAGAGAGCGACUCUGGGGAGACAAGAGGGCAAUUGGUACAAUGUAUCACCAAGUCUGCAUAUGAGUUUUGAAGGUUUCUCCUUUCCCUUUCCAAUACAAAUACCUCUUUCCUUAACACAGAAGCACAGCUUUGCUGGUGAAGUGAAGUGUCUGAACAGCAUCUAAGAUUUGCUGUUGCUCAGAAAUACAUGGUCACCAGAGAAAUGUGUCAAUUUACACUGCUGUCAUUCUACAUCUUUAAAAAUGCGUGACUUCUUGGAAAGGUGCAUGAGUGCAUGAGGGGUUCUGUCAAAGUUAGUGGGAUACUUGUAUUAUUAACCACUCCUGUUGCAAGACAUGGAAGAAACUUCUUAGGAGCUUACAGAGGGCUCUGUACUGGAAUUCCUAAAGUGUCUUAGCAAUACAGUAACACUGCUUUACACAUAGAGCCAUGGAUGUCUGGAAAUCUAGCUGCAGAAUGAACCAUCGCGUUGCUGCAAAGCUGAAUAACAAAAUGCUGAAUUUUCAAAAGCUUCUAUCAGUAGCCUUUUUGUUUUCUGGACUACUAAACUGGCGUGCAACAGGCUGGCACUGAACAUUUGCUCCAUGUUCUGCUGAAUGAAGAACCGAGCACAAGGCAGCUAAGGCACCUUCCUUGUAGACAGUAAAGAUGACAAAACUGGGAGCCGCUGCAGGAAUUGAAAAGGAGAAGUGUAGGCUACAAGUGGUGUGUGCUGCACUGAUGCUUAUUUAUGAAUCAAAGGAGAAGGAAGCAAGAUACUGGAGCUUACUGAAACUGUCUAGAGCUACUAUACUAAAAAUCUUUAAGCUUUCAGCUACAUGAACCGUACUGCUAAUAGCAAAAACAAAACCUCAGAGAAGAUCCUCAUUUGGUGUCUCUUUUGCAGCGGGGAAAAGUUUGGUAGUGGAGUGACAGUCUCAGAACAAACAUCCCUGGCUACCAGCAGUCUCCAUCAGCUUGCAAACCGGCUAAGUGCAAUACAGGAGUUCUGUGGGAAAACUUGUAAAGGAAAGAAGAGUGAAACUUUUCAGAUGGGAAGACUGCAUUAA